GUCAGAGUAUAGUAGAGUAUACUCGCCGCUAUAUUUUCCCUCCCUUUUCGCGUCCCCCUUUCCUUCUCCUAUACCUAGUCGUAUCCUCGUCCGAGCUCAGACUCGUCAUAAUGCAAUUAACGAUUGAACCGAGCCGAAACCGAACAAGUUCUCGUUUGUUACGCGUGUUACGACGCAACGCGAGAUCGCCCGAUCACGGAUUCCCAGUUGAACACUCCGUUGUCUGCUCCUCCUCCGUCAGGGUCGUUCCCCCGGUGAGCGCGCCCGACAAAAAGAAGAGCCAAUCGAGAUGUCACGAGAGAAUUAACUUGGACCAAGAGCGAUAGAAGCGAAGGAGUACUCGAUAAACUAAAGUACAGAAGCCAUUGAGUUCCGAGUAGAAAACAAUUCGCCUUAAAGAAGCGAAUUAAUCCCCCACUGACAGAUUCUUUGGCGAAUUUGGAGGUGAUUCCAUCGUAGGGGGAGAAAAUGUCAAAAGAGAUGGAUUUUUUUACACGACUCUUCAAUUUUCAUUAUUGAAUGAGUAGUAUUAAUUUAAAUUAGAAACAGAAGGUGAGAAUCUUGCAAGGACGCCGAUGCGGGCAGUAACGUUGCGGUCUGAAUGGCGGAACGUCGUCGAAAAACGAAUCGGCGGAGGAAUAAUUGCCGAAAGGCGAUAGUCACCAGGUGGAGGAGAAAUAUCGGUGCUAAUUACGUCGAUAGCGAAUAGAUAUCGAGGUGCAGCACGGUUAGUUCGAACUGACCGAUAUACUGAUCGUCGCCAAUUGCGAACGAAUGUUACAAGGAACGCUAUUAUUAGCGCGCGUUGGAUCGGGAAAACCUGACGACACAGAAUGAUGCUUAAAUUCGACAGACUAUCAAUAUUCGUAUCGACUCAACAUCCAACAUUAUGAGCGAAUUCAACGUAUUUUUUUAUCGAGCCCAGACAUUGGUACUGAUAAAAAAUAAAAAGGAAUAUAUCUUGAAAAACAAGAAGAGAUGUAUGGCGGAAAGAUGAUGGAAUAAAAAUUACAUUUUAAAAAGGCAA